UACGUAGGGUGCAAGCGUUAAUCGGAAUUACUGGGCGUAAAGCGUGCGCAGGCGGUCUUGCAAGACAGGUGUGAAAUCCCGGGCUUAACCUGGGAACUGCACUUGUGACUGCAAGGCUGGAGUACGGCAGAGGGGGAUGGAAUUCCGCGGUGUAGCAAGUGAAAUGCGUAGAGAUGUGGAGGAACACCGAUGGCGAAGGCAGCCCCCUGGGUCGACACUGACGCCUCGAUGCACGAAAGCGUGGGGAGCAAACAGG
rnacentral:rRNA from 1 species